GUUUCUGUAGCCUAGAUGGUUAAAGGCAGCACUGUAGCGUGUGUGUCAGUUAUAAUGAGGUCAUGGGUUUGAAUCUCACCAGACACA